GGGUGCCCGAGCUAGGACAAAGGGGGCGGACUUAAGAUCCGCUGGCGUAGAGGCUUUCCUGCCGCGCAAGCCUGCGUGGGUUCAAAUCCCACCCCCCGCACCA
rnacentral:tRNA from 1 species